rnacentral:tmRNA from 2 species
GGGGGUGAAUUGGAUUCGAGGAAGAAUAAAUUAUCAUGCGCUCAGGCAGAGUAUGUGAAGUAUGCUCUUGAAAUUUUCUUCACAAACCAAUAAGUGCAAACUUAUUUUCUAAAGUAGCGGCUGUUUUUGGCUCUUUACGGCCAAUGCAGCUUGCCACUUCUUACGCUUAAUUUAGUGUGAGCAUUGGUCCUUGAUUCUCGCUAGAGGGUUGCCAGUGUUAUAAGCGGGACGGCAUUGAUAAAAGCUCCGCAUCAAUGCAAGCAAACAGGGGUAAAAUUUUCCGCCAAAGGCGGAUAAAAAGCUUGUCAACCGCAGAUUAUGAGUUCUUCCGACCCGGGUUCAACUCCCGGCAUCUCCACAU